AGUGAAUAGAAAUUAAGAAAAAAUACGGACAAAGAACAAAGCUAAAAUAAGUAUUUUCAUCUUCCAACAUGAAAUCAGCAGCUGUGAGAAUUUUUGAAAACUGCAUUUGCACUCGAAACUCUAGUGGCUUCAGAGUUAAAGAAAGCAUGCUGAGAGGUCUAUCAGUGCAAAGGGUCAUCUAUGAAAUCUCCACCUAGAUCUAAGGACCACUGGGCAAACAGCAUGGUGCUAAAUAUAACCAGCUGUUUUCCCCAGGAAGCAUAUCAGGACUCCAAAAAUCUCUGGCAUCCACUCUUUCCUGACAUAGAUCAUGUGGCUUAGGGGAAAACUAACACCACACACAGCUUCAAGGUGAGCAAGACUGGUUUAAGGAUAAUCUAACUUGCCUUGCCAGGGAUUGGUUCAGAAAUAAGCAGGUGACCCUCUCCUGAACCUGUUAGAGGCCAAUGAGAUGAGAGAUGUUAAGAACUUUUGGCAAAGUUCUUCCAAAUUCUGGAAGGUCUUCCGGAAGUAACGUUUUCGCUUUCCUGUUGG